rnacentral:ncRNA from 2 species
UUUAGUCUUCAAGGCAGGGUGAAAUUCCCGACCGGCGGUAAAGUCCGCAACCCACUAUUUUUGUAGUGGCUGAACCCGUAAUGGUACCGAUAGUUAUAGUCUAGAUGGGAGAAGUUAAUU